AGAGUUUGAUCCUGGCUCAGGACGAACGCUGGCGGCGCGCCUAACACAUGCAAGUCGAACGAGCGAGAGAGAGCUUGCUUUCUCGAGCGAGUGGCGAACGGGUGAGUAACGCGUGAGGAACCUGCCUCAAAGAGGGGGACAACAGUUGGAAACGACUGCUAAUACCGCAUAAGCCCACGGGUCGGCAUCGACCAGAGGGAAAAGGAGCAAUCCGCUUUGAGAUGGCCUCGCGUCCGAUUAGCUAGUUGGUGAGGUAACGGCCCACCAAGGCGACGAUCGGUAGCCGGACUGAGAGGUUGAACGGCCACAUUGGGACUGAGACACGGCCCAGACUCCUACGGGAGGCAGCAGUGGGGAAUAUUGCACAAUGGGGGAAACCCUGAUGCAGCGACGCCGCGUGGAGGAAGAAGGUCUUCGGAUUGUAAACUCCUGUUGUUGGGGAAGAUAAUGACGGUACCCAACAAGGAAGUGACGGCUAACUACGUGCCAGCAGCCGCGGUAAAACGUAGGUCACAAGCGUUGUCCGGAAUUACUGGGUGUAAAGGGAGCGCAGGCGGGAAGACAAGUUGGAAGUGAAAUCUAUGGGCUCAACCCAUAAACUGCUUUCAAAACUGUUUUUCUUGAGUAGUGCAGAGGUAGGCGGAAUUCCCGGUGUAGCGGUGGAAUGCGUAGAUAUCGGGAGGAACACCAGUGGCGAAGGCGGCCUACUGGGCACCAACUGACGCUGAGGCUCGAAAGUGUGGGUAGCAAACAGGAUUAGAUACCCUGGUAGUCCACACUGUAAACGAUGAUUACUAGGUGUUGGAGGAUUGACCCCUUCAGUGCCGCAGUUAACACAAUAAGUAAUCCACCUGGGGAGUACGACCGCAAGGUUGAAACUCAAAGGAAUUGACGGGGGCCCGCACAAGCAGUGGAGUAUGUGGUUUAAUUCGACGCAACGCGAAGAACCUUACCAAGUCUUGACAUCCCUUGACAGACAUAGAAAUAUGUAAUCUCUUCGGAGCAAGGAGACAGGUGGUGCAUGGUUGUCGUCAGCUCGUGUCGUGAGAUGUUGGGUUAAGUCCCGCAACGAGCGCAACCCUUAUUGCCAGUUACUACGUAAGAGGACUCUGGCGAGACUGCCGUUGACAAAACGGAGGAAGGUGGGGAUGACGUCAAAUCAUCAUGCCCUUUAUGACUUGGGCUACACACGUACUACAAUGGCGUUAAACAAAGAGAAGCAAGACCGCGAGGUGGAGCAAAACUCAGAAACAACGUCCCAGUUCGGACUGCAGGCUGCAACUCGCCUGCACGAAGUCGGAAUUGCUAGUAAUCGUGGAUCAGCAUGCCACGGUGAAUACGUUCCCGGGCCUUGUACACACCGCCCGUCACACCAUGAGAGCCGG
rnacentral:rRNA from 1 species